GCUGUAUCCUCUUAGUGAGGAGGAGUCAAUGCAAACUGGGAAGUCUUCCUCCUCUACAUAUCUGUCAGUACAGAGGAUGACAGAGAACCGUGGACACACAGUUUAACAUGAUGGACCACAGGACAGCACUGCUGCUUCUAACCGUCUGCUGGGCAGGUGCAGAUGGUCAGACUCUGACAGAAUCUGAGCCCGUGGUUAAAAGGCCUGGAGAAUCCCACAGACUGACCUGUACAGCCUCCGGAUUCACUUUUAGCAGCUACUAUAUGAGCUGGAUCAGACAGGCUCCUGGAAAAGGACUGGAGUGGAUCGCUUUAGUAGCAACAGGCAGUUCCAGCUUAUAUUACUCCCAGUCAGUCAAGGGUAGAUUCACCAUCUCCAGAGAUGACUCCAGCAGCAAAGUGUAUCUGCAGAUGAACAGUUUGAAGACAGAGGACACAGCAGUGUAUUACUGUGCCAGAGACACAGUUAGACAGAGAAAUGGGAGACUCAAACAAAAACUACUUCCUCUAUUUACCACCACCACUGGAAACAUUCAGUUUCCUCAGUAUCACUUUUCUUGAAAUAUUGGUUGUCAUCAAUUUCUCUAUUAUUAUUAUUAUUUUUAUUCAUUCUUCAUCGUUGUGCAAAAAUGUAACUACAUGUCUACAGAAAUGUGAACAUUUACAUCUUGUUCAUUUUGUUUUCUUCAUAUUUUUUUGCAAUUCGGGUACUAUUUUACAUUUGUUAAUGGUAUUUAUUGUAUAGAUUGUAAGGUGUGUGGUGUGAUACCUGCUGCUGUAACACCGGAAUUUCCCAGCUUGGCAUCAAUAAAGUACCUAUCUAUCUGUCUAUCUA